rnacentral:rRNA from 1 species
CCUACGGGUGGCAGCAGUGAGGAAUAUUGGUCAAUGGACGAGAGUCUGAACCAGCCAAGUAGCGUGAAUGAUGACUGCCCUCUGGGUUGUAAACUCUUUUUAUAAAGGAAUAAAACGAGGCACGUGUGCCUUUUUGCAUGUACUUUAUGAAUAAGGAUCGGCCAACUCCGUGCCAGCAGCCGCGGUAAUACGGAGGAUCCGGGCGUUAUCCGGAUUUAUUGGGUUUAAAGGGAGAGUAGAUGGGUUGUUAAGUCAGUUGUGAAAGUUUGUGGCUCAACCGUAAAAUUGCAAUUGCUACUGGCAGGCUUGAGUACAGUUGAGGUAGGCGGAAUUCGUGGUGUAGCGGUGAAAUGCUUAGAUAUCACGAAGAACCCCGAUUGCGAAGGCAGCUUACUAAACUGUGACUGACAUUGAUGCUCGAAAGUGUGGGUAGCAAACAGGAUUAGAUACCCCAGUAGUC